UACGGGGGGGGCAAGCGUUGUUCGGAAUUAUUGGGCGUAAAGAGCUCGUAGGCGGCGUGUCGCGUCGGCCGUGAAAACCUGCAGCUUAACUGUGGGCGUGCGGUCGAUACGGGCAUCACUGGAGUUCGGCAGGGGAGACUGGAAUUCCUGGUGUCGCGGUGAAAUGCGCAGAUAUCAGGAGGAACACCGGUGGCGAAGGCGGGUCUCUGGGCCGAUACUGACGCUGAGGAGCGAAAGCGUGGGGAGCGAACAGG
rnacentral:rRNA from 1 species